rnacentral:rRNA from 1 species
GACGGGGGAUGCAAGCGUUAUCCGGAAUCACUGGGCGUAAAGCGUCUGUAGGUGGUGAUGCAAGUCACUGGUGCAAAACUCUGGCUCAACCGGAGGAAAGCCAGUGAAACUGCAUGACUAGAGUGUGGGAGAGGUAGAAGGAAUUCCCUGAGUAGCGGUGAAAUGCGUAGAUACAGGGAAGAACACCGGAGGCGAAAGCGUUCUACUGAAACACAACUGACUCUGAGAGACGAAAGCUACGGCAGCGAAUGGG